UUGCAUCUUUUCAAUCAGAAAUUUCUUUUUUAAGAAGUUUAUCUUCCGGUUUGCACUAGGAUGCGAAAGAACAAAAAGUCCCUGUGCUUUCUGUCUGUCUUUGUGGCGGGUCCAGAUUGAAUGAGGGAUGACAUAG